rnacentral:rRNA from 1 species
GACGAACGCUGGCGGCGUGCUUAACACAUGCAAGUCGAGCGGUAAGGCCCUUUCGGGGGUACGACGAGCGGCGAACGGGUGAGUAACACGUGGGUGACCUGCCCUCAGCUCUGGGAUAAGCCUGGGAAACUGGGUCUAAUACUGGAUAUGACUCCACGGUGCAUGUCGUGGGGUGGAAAGCCUUGUGCGGCUGAGGAUGGGCCCGCGGCCUAUCAGCUAGUUGGUGGGGUAAGUGGCCUACCAAGGCGAAGACGCGUAGCUGGUCUGAGAGGAUGAUCAGCCACACUGGGACUGAGACACGGCCCAGACUCCUACGGGAGGCAGCAGUGGGGAAUAUUGGACAAUGGGCGAAAGCCUGAUCCAGCCAUGCCGCGUGAGUGAAGAAGGCCUUAGGGUUGUAAAAGCUCUUUCAGCGGGGACGAUAAUGACGGUACCCGCAGAAGAAGUCCGGCUAACUUCGUGCCAGCCGCCGCGGUAAC